rnacentral:rRNA from 1 species
GAUGAACGCUGGCGGCGUGCCUAAUACAUGCAAGUCGAGCGAACAGACGAGGAGCUUGCUCCUCUGACGUUAGCGGCGGACGGGUGAGUAACACGUAGAUCACCUACCUAUAAGACUGGGAUAACUUCGGGAAACCGGAGCUAAUACCGGAUAAUAUAUUGAACCGCAUGGUUCAAUAGUGAACGACGGUUUUGCUGUCACUUCUAGCUGGAUCCGCGCCGCAUUCGCUAGUUGGUAAGGUACCGGCUUACCAAGGCAACGAUGCGUAGCCGACCUGAGAGGGUGAUCGGCCACACUGGAACUGAGACACGGUCCAGACUCCUACGGGAGGCAGCAGUAGGGAAUCUUCCGCAAUGGGCGAAAGCCUGACGGAGCAACGCCGCGUGAGUGAUGAAGGUCUUCGGAUCGUAAAACUCUGUUAUUAGGGAAGAACAAAUGUGUAAGUAACUAUGCACGUCUUGACGGUACCUAAUCAGAAAGCCACGGCUAACUACGUG